GACGUUGAUAGGCCGGGUGUGUAAGCGCAGCGAUGCGUUGAGCUAACCGGUACUAAUGAACCGUGAGGCUUAACCUUACAACGCCGAAGGUGUUUUGGCGGAUUGAGAGAAGAUUUUCAGCCUGAUACAGAUUAAAUCAGAACGCAGAAGCGGUCUGAUAAAACAGAAUUUGCCUGGCGGCAGUAGCGCGGUGGUCCCACCUGACCCCAUGCCGAACUCAGAAGUGAAACGCCGUAGCGCCGAUGGUAGUGUGGGGUCUCCCCAUG
rnacentral:rRNA from 1 species